UGACUCAUUGGUAGAGUGCUUGCCUAGCAUGCAAGAAGCGCUGGGUUCAAUUCCUCAGC
rnacentral:tRNA from 1 species